UUUGAUAUUUCUUUAAAUAUGUACUUAUAAGUAUUAUCAGUAGGAUCUAAACUUUUAAUUAUUAAAAGCAUUCUUAAUGAGAAUUAAUCAUUCGGUACACUCAUAAUGUAGUCGACUCAACUCUUACACCUAAUUGCUUGCUUAUAUGCUCAUAGGUAAAUUUACGUUUGCACUCUGAUUAAAUAUUAUGGAGAGUAAAGUGCAUAAUAACUGAGCCAACCAAUCAAUUCAGGCAACAAAGUCACUUUGAUCACUGGCUCAAGUGAAUCGGUAAAGCAACAGCUUUACUCUUUUCAUCUUUGGGUGCUAAAGUGGCCAUAGUUGGACGUGAUCAAAGUAAACUGGACAAAGUUGCUGCUGGAUGUGAAGCAAAGUCACCACAUCGCUACAAGCCAGUUGUUAUUAAGGCUGAUUUCGUUGCAGAUGAAGAUGUUGUAGGAACCUUUGAAGAAACCAUUUCUGCCCAUAAAAAAUUUUGGUUAACAGUGUUGGUUUUGCUGGUCGUGCUGAUUUCAACGAUCCUAAUCCCGAUCUUGAGGUGUUUAAUCGAGUUAUUGCAAGUUAAUAUUCGAUCUAUUAUUAUAUUAUUUUGACUGAAUUGUCUGUUCCAUUUCUCACCAAAUCUAAGGAACCGUUGUCAAUGUAUCUGCUAUUAAUAGCCUGACUGCGAAUUCACUCAUUGGGUUUAUGGUGUGUCCAAAGCUGCACUCGAUAUGUUCACCAAGUCAAUGGCUGGUAAAUUGGCUCCUGAUAUUAAAGUAAAUAGUAAAUUCAGUUAAUCCUGGUGGAGUUCAUACUCAUCCCCUUGAACCUUCAAUGUUGGAAAAAUUUAUAUCCAUGAAACCCUUAAAACGAAUUGCUGAACCAAUAGAGAUUGCUAACUUUAUCGCUUUCCUGGCAUCUGACGCUUCAAGAAACAUGACUGGUUCCAUUGUUGUUUCUGAUUCACGAUUUCUUUGUGCUGAUCCAUCCAGUCAAUCCUGGUGGAGUUCAUACUCAUCCCAUUGAACCAUCAUUGAUGGAGAAAUUUAAAGCUAUGAAACCCUUAAAUCGAAUCGCUGAACCAAUAGAUAUUGCCAAUUUAAUUGCUUUCCUGGCAUCUGAUGUUUCAAGAAACAUGACUGGUUCAAUCGUUGUUUCGGAUUCUGGAUUUCUUUGUGCUGAUCCAUACAAAGUACUCUCGGGGAAAUAAGCUUUGAAAUACAGUCAUGAUUAAAAAAGUUCAAACUUUGUUAA